ACACAUUUCUGUGGAAACAGCCUCACGAGGCAGCAGCCAGCGCCGCUGCCGAGAUAAACACAGUCAGAUGACUGAAGACAAACUGCAGCUCAGAGAGAGAACACGUGAAUAACACAAGUGGACGCCUCUGAUCCGCAUUUCUGAGUUGAGUUGAUGGCGAACCUUCUGCACAUCCUCACUGUGACCUCGUCACAUGUCCACGUUUGGGCAUGGACUUUCCACGUCCACAUAUGACGUCCAAGCAGCACACACGUGGUUACGUUUGGAAAAAAGAACAGGGUUUGGCUUUACAAUCUUACAGGAAGUGAACACCGACCUCCAGGGUGAGAGUUGGUGGCUGUUGGACCCAUCCACCACCCCUCCUGCCUGUCCUACCCAGACUUUCGCCACCUUAUCUUUCAUUCCUGUCCCACCAUGUUUCCCCCUGACGCUGCCAAGGGCCGUUAAACAAGAACAGCGAUCGGUUGUGUAUCAUGCCAGUGUAAAUGGACAGCUUUUUUCGUUAGUGUUUGAAGCCGAGACUCGCUAAACAAAUGUGAGUUUUCGAUUAAUUCUGAACGAGACGAGACACUAACCCUUCACCAUAGCCUGUGCUGCUCCCUAGAAAUACAACUACACAUCGCAGUGGUGCAAACCUCCUGUUCAUUUUCUGUAAACUGAAAACCAUUUCACUCAGUGGAAACAAAACUUUGAUUUACUCACAUUACUAAGAUACUCAGUCCGUUUCCAUGACAUCAGAGAAAAUGGAUUUAUUAAAACCGGACUUUUAAAAUCCCUGUAAACAUGUCAGUGUGAGUGAAAUGGUCCUGCAGUGAAUGUGUCACAGUGGGACUAACACACCCAGAUCAUGUGACUCCUGCAUGUAUACAGUCAAUCAGGCCCAAACUGGCCGAGGCGCUCUGAGCAUGCUCCACAGUUUCCGCCCCGGGCUUUGACCCUGAAGUCCAAUAGCAUUAAAUGUGUAAGAGAAGAAGAAGCCGGUAACAACAUGGAGAAAUCUACAUCCAGAGCCGUGACUUUUUGGACGGACCAAAUGUACAGAGCUGUAAAGUUGUCCACCAUGGUAGCAGUUAGCUGCUAGCUAACUGUAGCUAACUUGUUUGUCCAUUGUUUGGUCUGUGACGUAAUAGGUCAACAGGAAAAAGGUCCAAUACUAAUAAGCUGAAAGGGGGCAUAUCUCCACCUAUCGUAGAGGAGUCGCACAUACUUGGCUCAAUAAAUGGAUUCCCCUCCCGUGCUUGUAUACUGGGACAAGGACACUAGGCCAGUUAGAUGUCCUCGUCCAGCUGGGACUGUAGCUCCACUUCACUGUGACUGGACACAGACUGAGUGCGUAAAUGGCGUGCUGCUUUAUUCUGGAGUCAGAUCAAGAGUUUACACAAAAACAAAACAUGACCAGGUUAUAAAAUCCACAGUGAGCAGCAGUGUCCAGGCUCCAUGUCGUGUUGCAGAUGUUUAUCAGUCGUUAUUUCUUCUCUAAACUUCUCACAUGGUUUCAUUUAAAUGACUCAAUAAUGUAAAAAUAAAAAGUCCAGAAUAUGAACAGAAACUGUGUGUGAUGUUCUCUCUGGCCUCAUGACUCAUCUCAUCAGUCAGUCAUCCCUCUGAUUCAUCAUGUGACCGUUUGCAGGGGCCC